AGAUGCCAACCCAUGAGAACUGCUGGCACGAGAUGCCAACCCAUGAGAACUGCUGGCUAGAUAUAGAGAAUUCCUAACAGAGGACUUCCAGGUUAUCCUAGGGACAGCAGAGCCUCAAGAGCCAGGAUCCCCGAGUCACCACUUGGAGGAGAGUCUGCUAGAAGAACUGAUUGAUUAGCGACAUCUACAUUCAACUUGAUGUCCUAGCGAGACUCAUGGAGACAGACACCAGACUUCCCAUGUGUGGUCUGUACUAUAGACUCGGCAGGAGGAAUUGUGCAUCAUCAGCUAUUCAAGGCGGGAUGGCAGCGUUUGUGGAAACUGCUGGGGGACAUGAGGAAGGGGGUUUGGCCCAGAAAAUGUGAAUGGCAAGUGGACCAGAGGGACUGCCUCCUGUGUUCUGCUUUGAAGCAGCAGCUUAACGAGAACAGACAAACAGGAGCGCUUCUCAGCUCAGCAGGAUGAUGGGGGGCGCAAAUUAAAAUCCCAUUAUAAAAACACCGCGGAGGCUGCUGGCAGCCUGGCUGAUGAUCAUUUACACUAAUGUAC
rnacentral:lncRNA from 13 species